UGGAAGCAGCUGGCUUCACAGCUCAGGUGAUUAUCCUGAACCUUCCAGGCCAAAUCAAAAGAGCGCCGUGUAGGGAAAGAGU